CUUUGUUCAGGUUCGAUACGAUGCGGUUUUGGGGAUCUGAAGCUGAGCUCUCCCCUCUCUCGGUGCUCCAUUUUGGCUCAAGACAACUUUACGCGAUCUUACUAUGAAGAAUGUUCCGAUCGAGGCGCCUCGAUCAGAUCGAGUCGAUCGAUUUCAAGUUGGAUCUUUCAUGGAAAGUGUCGGUGUUCGUCUGUGUCUCUUUUUAUACAUCGAUUUUGACCCGGAAACUUUUAGCUAAGGUUUUCGGUAGUUCUAGAAACCCUGGGGUCUGAAUUCUAUUUCGUCCAGGCAUCACCCACUUGCGCGGAGAGAGAAGCGCGGGCGUCGGAUGGCGGCCGUUGACGUUCACAUUGGCUCCCCAUAGGGAGGAUCCGAUGAGAAACCCCACCACAUUUUCGUCCUAGAUAAAAACCUUUAACAGGUAUCAGUGCACUUUGGAAGUCCUACGAUAAGCCCGGAACGAUUCCUGGAGGGCGGUUUCCAGGUUUGACUUGAGAACGCCAGCCAAUGUGAGGCACUGUGGAGUUCCUAGAAAGAAAUACUAGUCGAUGGUGAUCUUUGACUGCUUAAGGUAUAUGCUGAACCCAAGCAUCAAACAAAUUUCCUGAUAGAGUUUUGUUCUUGGGCAGUGUUUUAAAGCCAUUUUGUAUCAUGAACAUGAAUGAAACUUUAGUUAGUGGCCCGUGACAUGAAAUAGUUGGGCAUUAUGUGUAUUAACAGCAUAAAUUUUUAUUAGUGUAUGUGACAUCGCCAUAGUCGGAAAUCACAAGUCAAGUUGUCGGGACAUUGCCAACUCUUAGUCCAUCUACGUAAUGUGUAUAUAUGUACUUUUUCUUCAAACCAUAGUCAGUUACCAAGGAUCUUUUUUUUUUCCUUGAUGAAUUAUGACUGUCUAAGGCAAUGAACUUAAAUUUGGGCUCAAACCAAUAAUUAUCUUUGACAAAAUUAUUCUCUUGUUUAAUUCAACAAUAUAUGAGCUUGACAAAAAGGAAGAGUUUUGAGUUUCCGACAAAAGGCUGUGAAUGGAUUUCGUGAUUUACAUUUGGAUAAGUUGUUUAGUUGUCUUUAUUUUAAAUUAUAUAAGAAUCUUAAUGUUUUUCGAAACUAGGAUUUUUUCCAGUUAGAAGUCCUUUUAAUCUUUCUUCCAAUUUAACUAAUUUUGAUAUUCAACACCUUUCUUCCAGUUCCAAUUUCUCUUACAUUAACAAUAACAGGUCAGUGGGGGAAUAUAUUGAAGUGUUUGCAGCAUAUAUUGAAGUGUAUAAUUUGAGCAAUGCAUCAUCAGGUUAUGCACAUUAAAGUGUCUUUAUUGUUAGCAGUUCUGAGUGUACUUGCAAUGAUAGUUUGAGUUGGUUUCUUAUUUGUGCCAUAAUUUCCCAUCUUAUGGGACAAGACGAAGUCGAUUAUCUCUGGAGCAUUAUUGCUUAAAUUUAGAUUUUUCAUCCUUUGGUCUAAAGAUGUAAAACUACAACUUUAUAAUCCUAUUUCUUAACAUGGCUAAUACUAUAUUGUUACAGCUACUCCCCAACUAUUGUUUAUUGCCUCCCAUUCAUCUAUUGUCUUCUGAGUUUCUGUUUGAUUUUCAUCUUAAUUUUGUUUUAACACUUAUGUUGCUUGUAACCUGCAUGGUGGAGCUUCAACUAUAUACCAUCUGAGGAGUCUUUGUUAUGGAUUUCACCACCCUCCAACAUGUACAGAUAGUUCUGAUUACCAGAUAUCAUCAAGCCCUGCAACGAGCCUUAUCAUCAAAAUAGUUUCUGAUCGUGGAGUAGGAUCAUCCAUUGCUGGAAUUACUUGGUUCCCAUAAGCACUGAGGACCAUUAUCCAUGACGGUGAAGAUCUUUUGGUAACGUGUCAAUAAAUUAGCUGGAGUUCUUUUUCGCUUUAUGGUAACGCAGUCUUACCUCAAUAAAUAUCGAUGUUACUUUUAUGCUUCAAAAAUAUUUUUCCAGCUUGCAAGUGAGUGAUCAUACUGUUAUAUAAUAGCAUUCGUUGUCAAAAUACUGCUCGUUGUUCGUCUUCUUUCUGUUCAUUGUUGCACAACCACACGGUUUUAAGUGCUUCAAGCACCUUUGUCAUCACCAGUCUAUUUCUCCCGAGACCUACUCUUUAUCUUGUACUAAAAGGAGACCUUGGAAUUGAAGAUGCCCCUUUUGAACAGGUGCUGUGACAGGGCUGGAAGGAAACAAUUGCCCUGCCCACCCAUAUUGACCCCGCAGAACACAUCACAAGCAGUGGGGCAUGGCCUUCUGAGAGGGCAACAUCACAUUGCUUUCAAAUAUCUGUGUCCAGAUCAGCCAGAUGAGAUGACCACUCUUUGCAUCCCGAAAGAGGAGUCAGAAGGACAUGAGAAUGCGCUGAAGUCUUUUGGUGAAAGAGAUGUGAGAGCUUGGAAUCCUAUCCGAAGUUUCAGAGUGGGUGAAAAAGAAAGGAAGGAAUUGGGCAAAGGCAAAAGAGGGGGUGUGUGGGGGAGAUGGAGGAAUCCUCUACCAAAAGCUAAGAAACAAAGCUGGUUGACAAGAGCAAAGGGCAAAAGGGCUUCAUCCCAUUGGAGGUUUGGCAUCAAGUGUUAGGAAUGUAUCACAUCAAUCAGAGUUCUCUCUUAUUCUUAGGAAGAAGUUAGAUCCCUACAUGUUGGUACUAAGAAAAUGGCCAUCGAACCGGCAAGCCCAAGAUGUGAAGAUUUGCAAGGAUAUGGGGACAGCAUCAUGCUGGCUGUUAUGAGUCCAUGUCAUGUCCUCAAAGAAUAAUAUGAAUUGGUCAUAUCUUCUUCACCCAUCCAUGUCAGGUUGAAGGAAUUCCCAGCAAAUGGCCAACUCUUGAACAACCAUCGCAUUCUGAGGACCACCAGCGGGUGGGCAUGAGGAAAUGGAGAAAGUUGCAGGACUCGGUGGAUGACUUGUGUCAUCAGGACUAACAGUGGAUGGGGACAAUAAUUGCCCUCAUGCCUCCCAUUUAAAGCAGAGAUGGUGAGCGGGAAGGAGGAGGUUGGGGGAUAUCUUUCAGGCUGAAGAUGACAAACCGGGCAGGCAUGAUUGUGUGAAAUGGAGACGGCAGCAACUCCAAAUCGAAGGCACUUGAAAGCAACUUGUGUCGAAAGCUUCCCUGAAAGAGACCUGCUGUUCUGGUCAUGUACCCUGGAACAACCUGGCAGCAAAGCCACUCCACGAUACAGGGUGCAGCAUCACUUCCCAACAUCUCAAAAUGAUAGCAGUUUGGUGCUGGAUUAACUUGGAGCUCACAUGAUCUAUCUAACACAUCAGGAGACCACUAUCACAAGUAGGGGGGCUUCAUCUUAAAGCAGAAACAGCUGCCAUGUUGGCCCACAUUUUGUUGAUUGAGAUGGAGAGAUUGGAAACAUGGUUUAAUGGUGGACAUGUUUUUCCAUGGGAAACCAACUACAGAUAUGCUUGCAAAGCCAAGGGGGGCAACAAAAUGACUUCCAAUCUCACUGGUAUUUACUCCCUAACCCUAACCCUCUUCUAUCACUCAAUUACUGCACAGGAUAUUAAUAUCUUUUAGAAUCAAUUACUUGUCCGCUGAGUUCAUCUAUUUUACACUUUCUAUUUUGGAUGCUCACAAAUUAUCUGGUUUAGGUCCUCAUAUGAUAUAUAUUUCAUGAUAGCUUUGCCAUCUACCAAUAAGCUUCAAUCACUUUUAGUUGGUUCAUAUGGAUAAAAGUAUUGCAUGUACUAUAUGUGUGCUCUUUUGGUGGUGUCAUAAGAGCGUGGACCAUAUGAGAACAGUUAAGAGAGAGGGUCAAAUUAAUACUCCCAUAAAUUAAAUGAUGGUGGUCAUUAACUGUAUAUUCAUCAAAAUUUGUACUUGUCCUGAUGAGCAUGGAAUUUUUUUUUUUUUUUGGAACCAAAUGCUUAAUGGCUUCGUUUGAUUGUGAUUUAUUACCCAACAUAUCUUAGACAAGCCAAGGCCACCUAAUCUCAACUGUUGCUCAUUACAACCUUCAUCAACAAAAUCCUAAUAACCCUACUAGAAUUCACUAACCAGUUUGUGAAUAAUGAUGAUGAUGGAUGACGCUAGAAAAAGGCUAAUUGUAGUUGGAACUUAAUCAAGAGCAUGUGACACAUAUCCAUUGUCAUAUAAUAUUCAACAAAUAAUACAGAUUGCAAAAUUAACUUGCAAUAGAACAUUGAAAGAUUAAAAGGGGAAUGGAGACCAUAAGUAGAUGAAUCUUAAGAUUUUAGCCGAAGCGUAGGUAGUUUCUUCUCUUGCAGCUAGCAAUUGUGAGGAUGGGGGAAAAAGUGAAAGAGAAAUGGGAACUCAAAGACUUGUAAUACCAGGGAUUAGAUGACGCUCGAUGAUUACACCCCAUGCUUCCCACCGUGGCCCGCAACGGUGCCGUGGGGGCUCACCUGACCCGGUCCCACCAGAUUAGUGCCCGUAAUGAUGGCGGUAGAUUUGGAGGGUCGCGAUCGUUUCGGCAACGGUGGGUCGGUGUCUUCGCCACGCCUGACAUCUUGCGUUGUCUUCUACCUGCGUUAUCCUGCGUCCACACUCUGCCAUCAAUGCAAGAUAUCAUUUCCCCACCUCGAAACCCUUAUCGACGGUGGCCCGAAGCAGCCAGGCGUGUCUUCACCGCCUCCCAUGUAUCUCUGUGGUCGUGUUACCAGUUCCACAUCAUCAUCUCCUUUACAUUUGUGUUCCUGUGCCAGGCCCUACAUGCUCUGCUGCAUCUCCAAUGGCCAUGGAUUCAGAGCCUUCCAUGGACUAUUCACUGUUCCCUACCGCAUCAAUCAUACGCCCGGAACUCCACAUGGUGUGGGUGCUCAUGGAGGCCGUGUGCCUGCGUCAUGAAUAAUGGUUUCCGUGGACGGAGGUGAACGGGCGGCUUCUGCGCAAGAGAAGCGAGGGAGAGGAACGUGAUGAUGGCCAUGCUCACGCUGUCGAUUACGACAAAGCGAGACGAAGACAAGCUGCGGAGCAGCAGCGGAAAAGGUUCCCAUCACAUGUGUCUCUUGCUCUGUACAAUACAAACAAAACCCAUCAUUUCUUUUUUCCUUCACUUCUCUUCUUGUUCAUCAACAGCUGCUGCGCUGUAUCGUUCCAGUCCGGAUCUGAUUCCAAGACACGGAGCGUCAACAACGCACGCUGUUGCCGUGCACUGUGCGGGUCAGCAAUCCAUUCUAUGCUUUUGGGACGCUGUAAUCCACGAGCUAACUGCUGGGUAUUGGAUAGACCGUCACUGAUUCCGAGAAAGAGAAGCAUAGAAGAAAGGGCAGAUGUUGUGUUGUGGGAAGGCAUCUUUCUGCUCGUUGAUCCCUCUUUUGGGGAAACCUCCUUCAGCCAAUUGAUCUCCAGCAACCUGUUCUACGCUUCCCAUGUAGGCACAGAGCAGCACGACCACCACCUCCACCUCGUCUCAGCUCAGGAUUACAGUACCAGCAAUCGAUCCUGGUUGAGCGUGACGAUGACUCCACCCAUGAAACACAAGGCACCCACCCCCACUUGGUCAAAAGCUGGGUCGUAAGAAGAUAAAGCCUGUCACUGCCUCCAACGGGGAGCUGCUGCCUUGAGCAUAUAUCUUCGCCCCCCGGUGGCUUAAAAUUGGGUGAGAUGGGGACAGCCCCAAUUCCAAGGCAAAGCAAAGCUCAGCAGACCUCUGCAACUUUUCUUUUGGUGGUGACUUCCUGGUUGCAACAUCAAAAGGCCGGCCGGCAUUAAAGAAAGAGAAGCUGUGGCCACAAGCUACAAGACAUGGCGGAGUUUCUCCAGACAAGUCAACUGAUCUCUGCCGAGCCCACCGGAGAAAGCCGAAAAGCAAUUCGACGAAAGUCUGAUCCCCACCCCCCGAGAAAAGAGGGGGAAAGGGAUAUGCUGCUCAUCUCGAGGCCUCCCCCUUUCUCGAUACGGAUAUGUGCUUCGCCGUCCACAUCCAUCUCGAGGAAGAGGUGGAUGCAGAGUAAAUGCUUGUUUAAA